AAACCCUAACUUCACAAAUUCUCAAAAAUCAGAAGGAAAUUAAGAGUUCUAAUGGAUGCAUGAACCCUAAAUCGAGUAAUCUAAGCUUGUUCAACCCUUGGUGUUAAGGAAGAGGGCUCAAGUCAAGUGAAGCAACAAGGGAACCAAGAUCGAGGUAAAUCUCAAGUUUAAUGACAAGCUUCGCCCGGUCCGAACACACCUCAAGCCCGUCAUGCGUUCCGCACUUUUGUAAAGAAGACAAUGUUUAAUACUUUGUCACUUUUGUCCAUGUCAAGUAGUUAAUCCUAGCUUUUUAUUAUGUUUGUCUUUUGAAAACUAAGUAGUAUGUAAGUACUUAAACUUAAUGGUUUCGUAGGUGAAACAAGGUUUGUUUUGAUGUGUA